CGAGAAUUUUUCUCAAUGGGGGAAACCCUGAAGGAGCGACGCCGCGUGGAGGAUGAAGGUCUUCGGAUUGUAAACUCCUGUCAUUUGGGAACAAUGUGCAUUUAUUAACUGUAGAUGCAUUGAUAGUACCAGAAGAGGAGGAGCCGGCUAACUCUGUGCCAGCAGCCGCGGUAAUACAGAGGUCUCAAGCGUUGUUCGGAUUCAUUGGGCGUAAAGGGUGCGUAGGUGGCGGGGUAAGUCUGGUGUGAAAUCUCGGGGCUCAACCCCGAAACUGCACUGGAUACUGCCUUGCUCGAGUACUGGAGAGGAGAUUGGAAUUUACGGUGUAGCAGUGAAAUGCGUAGAUAUCGUAAGGAAGACCAGUGGCGAAGGCGAAUCUCUGGACAGUUACUGACACUGAGGCACGAAGGCCAGGGGAGCAAAC
rnacentral:rRNA from 1 species